GACGAACGCUGGCGGCGUGCCUAAUACAUGCAAGUAGAACGCUGAAGAGAGGAGCUUGCUCUUCUUGGAUGAGUUGCGAACGGGUGAGUAACGCGUAGGUAACCUGCCUUGUAGCGGGGGAUAACUAUUGGAAACGAUAGCUAAUACCGCAUAACAAUAGGUGACACAUGUCAUUUAUUUGAAAGGGGCAAUUGCUCCACUACAAGAUGGACCUGCGUUGUAUUAGCUAGUAGGUGAGGUAACGGCUCACCUAGGCGACGAUACAUAGCCGACCUGAGAGGGUGAUCGGCCACACUGGGACUGAGACACGGCCCAGACUCCUACGGGAGGCAGCAGUAGGGAAUCUUCGGCAAUGGGGGCAACCCUGACCGAGCAACGCCGCGUGAGGGAAGAAGGGUUUCGGAUCGUAAAGCUCUGUUGUAAGUCAAGAACGAGUGUGAGAGUGGAAAGUUCACACUGUGACGGUAGCUUACCAGAAAGGGACGGCUAACUACGUG
rnacentral:rRNA from 1 species